rnacentral:tRNA from 2 species
AAUUAAUUAAUGAGCUUGUUAUAAAGCAUUUGUUUUGAAAACAUAAGAAAGAAUAAUUAUUCUAUUAAUUU